AUUGAACGCUGGCGGCAUGCCUUACACAUGCAAGUCGAACGGCAGCACGGGAGCAAUCCUGGUGGCGAGUGGCGAACGGGUGAGUAAAGUAUCGGAACGUGCCCAGUCGUGGGGGAUAACGUAGCGAAAGUUACGCUAAUACCGCAUACGAUCUAUGGAUGGAAGCGGGGGAUCGCAAGACCUCGCGCGAUUGGAGCGGCCGAUAUCAGGUUAGGUAGUUGGUGGGGUAAAGGCUCACCAAGCCGACGAUCUGUAGCUGGUCUGAGAGGACGACCAGCCACACUGGGACUGAGACACGGCCCAGACUCCUACGGGAGGCAGCAGUGGGGAAUUUUGGACAAUGGGCGAAAGCCUGAUCCAGCCAUGCCGCGUGCAGGAUGAAGGCCUUCGGGUUGUAAACUGCUUUUGUACGGAACGAAAAGGUUUGGCCUAAUAAGCUGAGCUCAUGACGGUACCGUAAGAAUAAGCACCGGCUAACUACGUGCCAGCAGCCGCCGUAA
rnacentral:rRNA from 1 species